ensembl:snRNA U6 U6 spliceosomal RNA
GCUCACUUCAUCAGCACAUACUAAAAUUGGAACAAUACGGAGAAGAUUAGCACGGUCCCUGUGCAGGGAUGACACGCAAAUUCGUGAAGCGUUCCACAUUUUU